CGCGGCCUAUCAGCUUGUUGGUGGGGUAAUGGCCUACCAAGGCAUCGACGGGUAGCUGGUCUGAGAGGAUGAUCAGCCACACUGGGACUGAGACACGGCCCAGACUCCUACGGGAGGCAGCAGUGGGGAAUCUUGCGCGAUGGGCGAAAGCCUGACGCAGCAACGCCGCGUGCGGGAAGAAGGCCUUCGGGCCGUAAACCGCUUUCAGCAGGAACGAAAAUGACGGUACCUGCAGAAGAAGGUGCGGCCAACUACGUGCCAGCAGCCGCGGUGACACGUAGGCACCAAGCGUUGUCCGGAUUCAUUGGGCGUAAAGAGCUCGUAGGCGGUUCAGCAAGUCGGGUGUGAAAACUCUGGGCUUAACCCAGAGCCUGCAUCCGAAACUGCUGUGACUUGAGUUCAGUAGGGGAGCGGGGAAUUCCUGGUGUAGCGGUGAAAUGCGCAGAUAUCAGGAGGAACACCGGUGGCGAAGGCGCCGCUCUGGGCCGACACUGACGCUGAGGAGCGAAAGCAUGGGUAGCAAACAGGAUUAGAUACCCUGGUAGUCCAUGCGGUAAACGGUGGGCACUAGGUGUGGGUUUCUAUUAACGAAAUCCGCGCCGUCGCUAACGCAUUAAGUGCCCCGCCUGGGGAGUACGG
rnacentral:rRNA from 1 species